UAAAGUAUAAUUGUGUAAAGCUUGCUAAGAAUAGAGAGUUGUCCCAUCUUCUAUUGUUAUUUCCUUCUGAAUGUGAGAUUGUAUUUUUGGUUAUUUGGACGAGCUUUGUUUUUGUUUUUUUUUUUUUUUUUGUUAUGAGAACUUGUUCAGUUA